ACCACUGACUACUAGCUCAAUGGUUAGAAAUUAGAAUGUCUGUCCAGAAUUCAGAAGGUCGUGGGUUCGAUUCCCGUCAGGGGUU